rnacentral:tRNA from 1 species
GAGGCGUUUGAAACUACACAGAACUGCUAACUCUGACCACCAAGGUUAGACACCUUGGGCCUCUCU